rnacentral:lncRNA from 1 species
GGUAAUAGUGGACCGAACACAUAGGUCAACCUGUUCUUGCGGUACGAAGUGAAGAUCCCCAUUCGGUAGGGGUGAAGGCAGGACAGAUGACCAAGCUUACAGAUUCAAUGCUGUUCCCAGCUGCUGAUGCUGUUUUGGAAAGUGGUGGGGCCUAGUCAGCAGACAUAAAUACUGGAGUGGCACUGAAGGAUGAGGGUGUUAUCCUGGUUUCUAGUUUGCUUCCUGAUCUUCUGAAAUGUGGGUCUCAGCUUCUUCUAAAGAUACUUUAGUAUGGACAGAGCCAACCCGGCUACCAUGUCUCUCUAUUGCAAGGACUAGUUGAUAUUCCCUCAGACUAUUCACCAAAAUAAACUUCUCCUUCCUUG